CAGUAGCCGCGGUAAGACAGAGGGUGCAAACGUUGUUCGGAAUUACUGGGCGUAAAGCGUGUGUAGGCGGCUUGGCAAGUCGGAUGUGAAAGCCCCGGGCUCAACCCGGGAAGUGCACUCGAUACUGCUGGGCUAGAGUGUCGGAGAGGUUGGUGGAAUUCUCGGUGUAGAGGUGAAAUUCGUAGAUAUCGAGAGGAACACCGGUGGCGAAGGCGGCCAACUGGACGACGACUGACGCUGAGACACGAAAGCGUGGGGAGCAAACAGGAUUAGAUACCCGCGUAGUCCCUGUCUCUUAUAC
rnacentral:rRNA from 1 species